UAACUGGGUUAGAGGCAAAUGAAAUAAACAUUCGGUAAAUGUAUUUGAUUUCGAGUCAGUCGAUUGAACCUCAUAUAGCAACGGCCAGGAACCGUUACAACUUGUUGAGAUGGUAUUGAAUAGAACCCGACAAGUCGUACAAAACUCGACCACGAACAGGGAACGCAGACCAAAUCGGAACCACGAACAGCGACUAACCAAUGAUGGCGAACUCGAGCGGAAUUCAAACUCAAUCCGAAACUUGAGACUUGCCGGAAGAGAUAUUCAAGGAGCUCCUGGUUGAUGGGUUCCUAUUGGUGAUUAUGGAGGUGUUGAUGCUCGACGACUCGCCGGCCAGCUUAUCGGAGAUGGCAGCGAUGGCUGAUGGAAUCACUGAUUUGAGGUCGGAGCGGUCGGCUGCUGCUUCUCCUUUAGUCCCUAUAUAUUUUGUUAAUGAAGAUAGUGAAUAAGCAGAUCCGACGGGAGGUCUGUGUUUUCGUUCCAGUAGAAGAAAGCUAGGAUCGUUUUGGCGCUGAUUUUGUAUAUAUUAGUGUGUGAUUCUUU
rnacentral:lncRNA from 1 species